GCAGCUCAACAUAUUCCACAUUCAUGAAAAACAAUUUAUAAAAACGUUUUACAAGUUUCAGUUGCAAUGUGAGAGAGCUCAUGUGUCAGAUCAUCAUCUGCGGCACAGUUGCAGGCAUUGUCACAGCAGACCUGAACGCCGCAAAGGUGAGCAGGCGAGCUAGGUGUUUGACCUUCGAAAAACAAUGGUGGGACAGGAACGAGACGAAGCAGGUGCAUCGUGAAGAUACUUUCAUGAUAUGAGCCCAGUGUCCAUUUCAUCAUAAAAAUUCCUUUACAAAGCUAGAGCUGGGUGCAAAACAAAACAUGCCAGAUCCUCAAACCCAAACGUAUAGUAACAGCGAUGAAUGCGAGAGUCCAUCUAGCGGGGUCAGCUGGUGAUGAUCUGGUCUAGUUGCUCUGAUCUAAUCAGGCGGGGCAUGUCGAGAGCGGCGCACCGCAGAGUUUCUCGUUGCCGGGGCGGAAUGCAGACUCCGGCAAGGCACUCAAUCCCGAAGGAAGCUUUCCUGUGAGGUGAUUGCCACCCAAGUGAAGCUCCACGUUAGCGAGCUUCCCAUACUGCACGGGGAUGUUGCCAGAGUGGGCGUUGUUGGAGAAGUCCAGCACCUUGAGGUAGGGCAACAGGGUGGGCCACACGGGCAGGCCCGUAGUAAUCUUGUAGUUGGAGUGGACUCGCACCUCCUGUAGCGUGUUGUUGAGCGCUGACCCCAGACACGCCGGCCCCACGUUGGGCAGGUGGCUCUCCGAAACCUCCAGGACGCGUAGCUUUUUGAGCUUGCAGAGAUCCGAAGGUAGACCGAUGUUAUAUUUGGUGUUCUGGAGGAUGAGGACUUCCAGAGAGUUGGCGAACAGGCCGAUGUCGUUGCCCAGAGCACCUCCGGCGGCGUUCGCGUUACCUAGGAAUCCGUUGCGGACCACAAUCUCGCGCAGAGGGAGGUUGGCGAAUUUCCUGACAGGAAGAGGCGCGUUCCAUAUGAUCCAGUUGGUGUGCAGGACCUGGAGCUGAUACAAAUGGGACAGAGCUUCUCCUGCCUUGAAGCUUGCCUCCGGGUCACUCCAGAUGAGGAGGCUCGGCGCUCCAGGGCCCCCGCGGCUGGGUGCGCCGAAGUCCAAGUUAAUGCCGGUAACUCCUGACCCGCUACACUGAACCCCCUGUAAUGACAUGGAACGGAGUCAGUUGGUAACAAUAUCAUAGACGGAGAGCGAGGGAGACAACGAAAACCCUGAACCCCAGGCAAGUGAGCCUCUCCGAAGGGGAAUAUUGAAGUACUUACCUUCCAGCUGCAGCAAUUACCACCAGUCCAUGACGCGAAAUCGUUUCGAGGGUCAGAAAAAAAGGACUUGAAUUUGAGCAAUGCAUCACUCUCAGCAGGGCUGCACUGGGCCAUUGCCGAGUGUGCGAGUGAAGCCAUCAAGACACAGGCCAGCGCCCAGACGGAACCACCUCGGGUUCCUUGGGCUCGCAUUUCCAUCGCCAUAUUCUUUAGAAGCCCUGGGAUGUGAAAGACGCUACAUACUGUCAGUUGGAACCAACAAGGACCAGAACAAGCCAUGCGAACUUGUGAUACAGUGAGGAUAAGAAUAAACUUCGAAACAUAAGUCACUUAUCAUUGCAGUGCAUUCUCAGUCACCAUACCUGCACACAAAGCACGACGAACCAUCCACACAGACCAAAGCCUACAAGCUCUACAGAAGCUUGUACUGUUCCUUUUCCGCAAUGAACACCUCGAUGAUCACGACUACAGCAGAAAGAGCUACUCAACAAGACAACGAUGACCCAGACUGGUGAUCGUUGGUUGUCGAGACCAGACGCUGAAGGCUCUAAAUGUAGCCUUCUAAAAGUACUCUCAGGACGGUGACGACUCACCGCAGCAUGAGGCGAUCGAGUGAAAGUGUUGAUCGACUCUCACAGUCAACAGUUGACAGCUUCAUGAAGCAGGGUAACGGCGGAUAAGUAUUUUGUCAUGUCAGCUCGCUGGCGAACUGACUUGCCGUCCAAGGAUGUAUAAUUGUCUUCAAGUUAUCGCAGUAUUUCGAGCUGAGUAUGUGCCGAAGGGUGUAGAAAAAUUGCGUAAGUAGGUGAGUUCACCGAUCUGACUGCAAAAUCUGGUGACACCUGAACAAGCAGAUCAUGCCAUUGCUCUCACACAUGUGUACUAGAUGGCGCACUAAUGAGAAACCACGACAUUCGAGGUUACCAAGCGCCAUGCUCUGUCACUGCUCUGUACAUUUUCCCCAAGUAAUUAGUAGUAUCUGGGUGGGGUUUUGAUGGGGUUAUUCACUAUAUCAUCUGAUACUUGUCCUGAAAGCAGGUUAUUAACCCUGAAGACACUGAAUGAAUACCUCUUUUUCCUUUUUUUUCCUUUUCUUUCUUUUCUGUUUUGCACAAAAGGAAUAACCCAAAUGGCAAGUGUCGAAGUCUUCGGUACUCUACGUGGUGCACAGCAUAAUCAUAUACACUCACGUGAGACCAAUAGUAAACAAGGAAAUAUAGUCCUGCAAACUCCACAUGCUUCCCGCCUCUUACAGCUGAAUGACCAGCUGGACAGACUACGGCAAACACCAUUUAAUACUGAACUCCAACAAAGGGGCUGCACUUGACAAUGUCUUACACGUCACCAUUAAAUCACAGGUAAAAUUCAAAGAGAAAAGACUGCCGUAGGGGUCUAAGGUAUUAGAGCAAGUGCAUCACAAGAUAGUUCCCAGGAGAUUGCACGCCAUUAUUUUCAAAUUUUCAAAGCCUCAGGAGGAGGAAAUCAGCCAGAGGAAUAAUUGAAAAAAGACUAUCUGGCAGAGCAUGGGCUUGUUGUAGUCUAAAGGCUUAUCCUCAGUAUGUCCUUAUGCCGAUGCCAUCCUUUGCGCCCAUCUCUGCAUCGUGCACUGUAAGGCUACCAUUUCAAUUUGGUGCAGUUUCUGGAAAGGUCACCCUGCAGACCACAGAAUCAGUUGGUACGGUAGACCAGAUAGGAUUCAUAUAUGUUAUGUUUGUUCUACAGAAUACCUGCAGGAAAGUUACCGUGCUGUUAGUCUACGCACCUGAGAAACAUUUGAUGGUUUGCUCAACAAAGAGUUGUCACCAUAUCGCUUCAGGUUCAAAAUAUCACUGGAGUUGGCAACUCUAAAAUUGCAGGUAAACAUACAGCAUAGCGGGGUUUCGGUCCUCGGACUGAUGGAUAGCUUCUUCCCAACGCCUCUUCUGCGUCCCUCAGAUAAGUCUGUUGCAAAGAUGGCAUUAAAAAACGAAUCCCGGACAUAGGUCUCACUCCGCACUCUCGAUAAGAACCCGUGUUUCAUGUCCACUAAUAACUUCGUUAGAUAAUGUGUCGAAAAUCCAACAGAUCUCUUUUUAACCCAUCACGACUCACUUUUAUUUCGUCCGAAACUCAUUUAAGGAACGGGAUCAUGCGAACUGAACUAGAGGGGGGGAGGUAUGCCACAGCAGACACGAGCGGAGUCAAGUCUCUGGACCCCCACAAUUGGCUUCGUGGAGUCCAUCUUACGAAGUAUUAAGCGAGUAUUGAUGUCCAGUUUAUUGUACAAGUGUUGGGGUUCACCUACAUGGUAUCCACCGACAUGUUCUGAAAUAGGUUAUUCCAUACAAACAAGUGAACUUCGUUGACCCUAAUCGUCACGGUUUGCGAAGAUGUUGGAGCUAUAAUAACUGCAAGACGACGAGAUUUGUUAUCCCACGAGUGAGAGUGAUGCGCUUAGCGAAACUCUUGUCCAGAAAAUGAAAUCGAAAAACCAAAUGAAUGUCAUUUUGCAUGGCGGAUGCGGGUAGUUGUCGAUAAGAUUCUGCAGCGGGGUACUGAUCCUGAACUGCAGCACGAGCAAUAAAAAAAUGCCAAGGUUUGCUUCAGGAAACCUCACGCGCCUUCAACAAUGCGUGCCUCAGACAGUGUGUUCAUAGCCCCGAAUUCUCACGUCUGGGGAUCGCAAACGAGCUCAGGUCGUCAGUCAAUUUUUAAAGCUCUCGUGGAUUUGAAGCAUCGUCAAUCUUGUCUUCCAGCACAGGUUCUACGGUCCUCUCAAACAGCUCUUGGGCAUUCCCUGCUGGCUCACUCGUGUGGUCACCUCCAAACCAAAGAGUCACCUCCAAUGCUAGUUCACACAACACACUGUCCUCACUUCGAAGUGUGUGACAUCUCAACUUGUUCGUGCAUGAGCAGGUCAUAACACGGAUCGCAUCCGUAAUAAAUCACACAGAGUAUUGCACCUUCGUUACAUAGAUCGAAGAAAUCACUGGCACAUUCUCUAGCACAGUUUCCAAUUCAGAGGUUCAGGUUAUCGAUCUCGUGCAUGAGAUGAAAGCUCGGUAGUGUGACCGCUUUAGUGUCCUCUGAAGUUUGCAUAAAUCAAGUCAGGGUCUUAGAUUUCUAGGAUGGUUACUACCGACUUGGUGGACAGACUUCCUAUGCACUUCGGUGUGGGCAGGAACAUGCAUUUGUACUCCGAAUGAAGUGAGCGCCCUAGUUCUAUAACUUUCAGUAAGUGCAACAAUAAGCCGCAUGAUAGACAGAAAGACAGACAAAGAGGGACAGCCAGUUUCGAUGCCCACAAUGGGCAAUAACAAGGAAUCAAUCUAGUGCAGACCUGAAUCACCACAGCAAUACUCUGUCUUAUCAGUUUUGCACAAAACAGCACCACAUGUCCCCUCAAGCUUAAUCUCCUGCAUUUUGUAAAUACAUUCUACUAUAUAUAUAUAUAUAUAUAUGUAUAUUUAUUUGUAUUUUUGAUGUAAAUUCCAACCAUCGAUGGAAUUUGUGGUGGCAAUAGCAAUACCCUAUAUAUACACACAUAUACACACUAAAAAGAAGAGUUUGAAGUAAGAGAUGCAUGUAUUUUUGAUGUAAAUAAAAAUCACUAUUACUAUUUAAUAUUUUUUAUAUAUAAAUAUUUUUUUACAAAGAAAAUGAAAAUUUUAUUUAUGUUAUGUUUUAGUAUUUUGAAAAAGAUGAAAAAAUCUAUUAAUUAAAUUUUUUAAAACUCUUAAUUAGUCAUUAUAUAAUUCUAUUCUAUCAACUUAUACAUGUUAAUAGAAUUUUUAAUAGCUCCUAUAAUGUCUUUUAUAUGUAAAUCAAGUAAAUUAGUUGAAGUAAUUUUUAAUAUGGACUAGUUAAAGAAUUUUUUUAUUUUAUUUUUCAUUUUUUAAAUUUUUUUAUAUAAUUAUUUAUCUAUUUUUAAAUUUAUAAUCUUUUUAUUAAAAUUUUUUAGAAGAUAAGUCAUUUUUACUUACCUUCUUGUAAGUUUUAUAUUUUGUAACUUUUGUAUUGCUAGUAAGAAUAGUUAUUGUUAAUGUUGCAAUUAUGUAUUUUUAUAAAAUAAAACAUGUUUCUUAAGAUUGUAUUUAAUUUAUUCAAGAUUAAAAUCUAACCAAAACAAAAAGAAAUAUUGAACCUUUACUUACAUCUUUGCUACAACAGAAUGCACAAUUUAGUUGUUUUACUAUUCUUUAUGAACUCAAAGAACAACUCGAACUUGAAGACCAAUCUCAGCAAACUUCAAACUUGAAUCUUUCAACUUGGCUUUCAAAAGAAAUCUAUCAACUAUAACGAUUCUAUUGCCAAACAUGCCAAAAAAAAGAAUAUUGAGCAACUUAGCAACAACAUAGAAAUUAUGAAUUAGAACACAAGAUUAUUGAAGAUAAGGUUGAAUGGGCUAUUGCCACAUUGAAGAUAAGAGCUCUGAUUUUAAAGAACAUCUAGCACCAAAAACUCAAUUUCAAUCCAAUUAAACUCUUCAAUAAUAAAAGUUUUUCAAUGAGAAGCUUUGAAAAAGGAAAGAAGUGACUAUGGUUGAGCAAUAUAUCCAAUAUAAUACGUGGAUUGUAUACAGUAUUUGAGUUACCUAAGUCCAAAAAAAUGAGUGGCAAUUGAUUUUUAUUAAUACACUUCAUUGAGAGAAGUCACUGGAUUUUAUAUAAAAGUAUAAAGAUUAGGCCAAGGAGUAGAUUGUUGUCAGCACUUAGUUGCCUAAUUCAAAUUUCAACAGCACUUAUUCUACAAAUUAUGCAAAUGCUAUCAAUCUUUCAUCCACCAACAAACCGAUUCCCUUUAACAAUCCACUCAAUUGGUAGUCUUGCAAUUGUAGUUGUGGAACUUACAAUACGACUAAGCAAAAUCAGUCUGCUCUUAUUUUACUUUUUGGUAGUCUCUGCUGCGGAUUUACAAGUCUGUUGUUAUUAAAGAAAAACGUCUUUACAUGAGAAUCAACAAAAGAAUUAACACUACAAAAGCAAGGUCAAAGCCAAGUCUUGGUGAUGAGGAAACAAAGCUAAUUUGUAAAACAAAUUGCCAUUAGAUUGCCAAAAUUUUCUCUUAUUUAUCUAAGGCAAAGUUGAUCACAUUGCCUUAGAUUGCUCCAACACACUUUUGUGUGUUAAAUGCAAAAGUUGCAAAACAAUUGGUACUUUCUCAUGCCAAACUUGCAUCUAUUUCUUCUUUUUGUCCUUCUUGUGCAUUCAUCUCCACAAAUGGAGAAACUAUCUAAAGUUUUAACUACUAAUUAAUUUGUCAUUGUGGAUGUUAUUGUAUAUUUGCUUGUAUUGAUAGUUUCAACAAAGUUGGUUGUUGUUGUUGUAUUCUAGGAAGGAUGUAAGCAGAGUUUGUAAUUGGAUUUUUCACUAAAUUGUAAUUUGAAUUUAGAUAAAUAUAAUUAAAAUUAAAAGUCAAGACUUGAGUUAUAAUAAAGUUUUGGAAUAGAUGCAAUGUUGAAUGUAAAGUAUGCAAUAACAUGUUUUAUACAAAAAAAUGUACAAUAUUAGAAUUUUAUUUUUUUAAUUUUUAAAAAAGAAAUAUGUAAAAUCUGUUUUAAAAACAGAAAAUAUUGCAUCAAUUGUUUGCUAGUUAGAAUCUCCAAGAGUAUGUUAUAAUUUUAUCAAUUCAUAUUUUCAGUAUACUUAAUAUUAUGAGAUUUGCACAAAAUAUCAGAAAAAUCUUAUCAAGAUUUUUUGGAGUCAAUUACAAUAAAAUUAUUAAAAGAAUAUACAUUCCCAAUAUAUAUAUAUACAUAUAUAUAUAUAUACAUGCAUAUACACACACAUGCUCUUAAGAUAAAUAAGAGACAGCAACAAAUCAACAUCAAUGUAGCACAUUAAGAAAAAAAUAAUUAAGAAAAUGGAUCAGAAGAAGUCUAUUAAUAGAUCAUAUAAGCAUAAAUGAAUACCUUUACUUUCAUUUGUUAAAUAGGUGUGCCUAUUUUAUCCAUCUCACUGUGAAGUACCUUUACUUUCAUUUGUUAAAUAGGUGUGCCUAUUUUAUCCACCUCACUGUGAAGUAGUCAACUUCUAUCAAGUAUUAAAGAAAAUGUUCUAUACUUAAUGAAUAAAUCUGUAAUGAAUUGCACCCAAGCUAAUUAGAAUACACUACCUUCUCAUACUAACUAAGUACCUACAUUCCAACAUACCAUCCCACCUAUCUUCAAAGCAAAACCCUCAGUCUCGUUGUCAAAAAAGCAUGGUCCGCCUGGUAUCCAUUCAUAAUCCUGUGUGAGAUAUUUCCCUUUACACAUCAAUAGAAAGUCACAAUGGUACUCGCAGUUGCAAUGUGGUUAGCUAGAAGGGAGUCUGAUCGGACCCAUUUGCAAUUGUCUUUGUUCUGUCAAGGUCCUCCACAAAUCCUGCCUCUGGACGCAUGGACUCAAUAAAUACCACUCUCAUGCAGAGGUACCUCUUCAUCUGCCAACCUCCUUGUCUCCAGCACUCUCAAACUCUUGUGCUUCUCUUCGACAUGCCUUGCUUUGCAUAAUAAUAACAUCAUUAAUUACUGCAUGUACGAUGUAUGCUCCGUUUCACCUGCACUUCGUUGGAAUGGGUACCACCUGCCGUUUGUACUCUUCCAUCCGAGGUGUCUUCACUGGAAGCCCCGGAACUUUCACUGCUAGGACGCGCUUGAUAAACUCAUAUGAAGCGAAAAAAAGUGCCCCCUGGGUGAUGUAUAUCAAUAUCCGCGGUACUAGUCCCCUGCAAGUGUGCAAAAUCUUAAGUAAAUCAAGGAGGACACUUUCCACUUCAAUGCCCCCCUCAGUUUAUGGCCAGAGCGCACUGCUGAGACUAAUAUACCUAUUCCUGAAACAUAGCAAUCAUGUACAACCAAAACAUACGAAUGGUCGACGCCAAAAAUAAAGGCCGCACCCAUUUCAGUCCAUCUCGUAUCUAAAAAACCUAGAGUUGCAACAAAAUCGCAUGCAACUCACCGGUACAAUCCAGCUACACCCUCUGUAGUGACAAUGCUCUGGAAAGCGUGAAUAACCCCAGUGUAUUGCUGAGCUGUCCCAGGGAUCUGUCCACCCAACACCAGAUAAGUCAAGUCGAUCAUAUCCUAUUCGUCACAUCCUGAAGCUUCAGCACCCACGCUACCAUGUGCUCGACAAAGAACAAAUGCUCACAGAAUCCCCUUCCAUGGAACACUCACGAAUUCCAAAACAAGCAAUGCGGGCAGUACUAGUCACUCCAGAACCAGCUCAAAACCUGCGUUUGCAGCCGAGUCUUGACAACAUCGAAAGGAGUACUGAAUAAAGCAGCAGUCGACCCAGCAGCACCGCCGACAACCAGCUGCACAAAAAUCAGCGGAUCAGAACAAGACAGACACGUCCUCACAUCAUGCCCUUUAUUACACAUCCACAAACCCAGUUACAGUUCGUGCUCUUUCUCUCAUUCCAAUCUACAAACGCCUCAUGAUCAUUCCACGCCUGCCGGCACUCCACCAAGACUCCAUACUAUGCCUAAUCAGCCCAGAGGUGACAAAGUAACAAUGUCGUGUAAUUCACCAUCAAGUCAGCUACUAUACAACGAAAUCAACACCCGACGCAACCUACCGCUUGUGGUGUGCUCAAAGGGGUGUCACGAGGCUGGUCUCGUUGAAUCCAGCGCUUCAGCCCCUCAUAUGUGUAGAACUGUGCGAUCACCACACCACACGCCAUCACACUUCAGAACCUCCACACACUACCAAUCCAAAGUCGCGACUACCAUGCAAAGAAAACCACCAGGGGCAACCCCUAGAUUCAACAACAAAAAAGCAACCAACAUUGCAUUCGACAAGGAGAUAGUUGCAUACCUUGACCACAGAUUGCGGUACAUUGCGACAAAGCACUGCUCCCCAACCCUUGUACAGCGUCGGCAACCCUCCCUGUUGCACUAUCGAAGUGAGCGCUUGCCUGAGUUAUUCCACAACAACUGCUCAACACCAGUAAGUCGGAUUCGUCACACUGCAGGCAAAAUGCGGACCGAGGGAUGCUGGAAAAAGCUUGAGGGCAAUCCUCACGUGGCAGAAAAUCUGCACCACGCUUCGUGUAAACUACGUGCUAGUAAACGAAAGACCAAGCCCAUCGCCCCGAUUUCUUUCAAAUUUGAAACAUCCGGAUAUUGAACCGUACCAGCUAUUUGUAUACAACCCGUGCACUUGCAUCCGCUGUUUCACAAAGUCACUCGGUGUGUACACGAAGGAGGUGGCCACACUUGCACAUCCCCCAGCAACGCAAUGCGCCAGUGCGGACAUAUCCUGUUUGCAUUCAAUUGACAUGAAGGUUCAUAACCAUCAACGGCGUCCCCUCCUUACCAAGAAAAAUCCCAUCAAAAUCUUAACACACCUCACCCCGGACAACCAUGACACCACAUUGCGAGAUCGGAAGCUUCAGAACACACUUCACAUAUUCCAACGGAAGCUUCAGAACACACUUCACAUAUUCCAACGGAAGCUUCAGAACACACUUCACAUAUUCCAACGUCCGUGAAGCCGUACCUCUGGAAUGUGGCGGAGGAGACCAGCUUUGACGGUUUCAUAAGUGAGCGUGUAGAUAGCUGAGAUUGGAGCCGACGCAAUCAAAUUGCUUCCAAGACCUCGGUACAAACCUCCCAAACCUGCAAAUAAGACGUCCUCACUCGAGCAAGAUCCAAGGAGAGGAGAAGGAUCUACGUAAAAAAUCCUAGAAACUUAAUUACUGUGAAGUUGACGACACUGGAUAAGCGUACAGGCAUGGACUAUAAAAGGUUUACCUCUUUCAGAGAUAACAGCGGACAUAAUGGGAAGGAGUUUGCGGUUGCCACCAGCUCGCGCUUGCACGAGCGUCUUCAAAGUAUCAACAGGAUGCAAGCAAAGGCUCACGACCCCACCUGCCAUGGCUCCAGCGCCUGCGUUUUGCGCCACCCGAGGGCUCCAUUUCGUCACAUUACGGUUCGCCAUUGCAGCACUUGUGGCUGUUUAGACAAGCCCGUUGCACUCUACUGCCACUGCAGGGAUUGAGCUCCAAAACGCAACCAGUCGUGUCGCUUAAGUGCAGUGAGCAAUUGUUGCUGGAUUUCACAACAGCCACUAAUUCACUCACGCAAACUGUGUUUUCCGGGAUUCUUUGGCGGCAAACGACUCUUGGGUCAGCUCAUUUAUCGUAUGAGGGAAGGUUCAGCACUAUUUGUGGAAUGCUAAGCAUCGAACUAGUGCGACUCUGUCGCGUUUUGACCAUUCACUAGCGUAAGAGCGCCAUCUUGGCACAUGUUCUAUAGCCAUGUAAGCCCGCGUUGAAUGUGAUUCGCUGAGGCUUCAUAGCAACGUGACUGGUGCUGUGGAAUCUGGAGCUCACCACUGUGCUGUGGAAUCUGGAGCUCACCACUGUGCUGUGAAAUCUGGAGCUCACCACUGUGCUGUGACAGCUCCGAAGGUAUCACAGGAUAACAAGUACAUUAAAUGUGCCUCUUUUUCUGUAUAAAACUGAUGUUUAAUGAGAAAGCGAGUCACAUGACUUGCAUGGGAAGACAUUUUUGUUUUUUGCGUUUUGCUUUUUUGUGUUCUGUUUUUAAAUUGAUGUGUUCAGCUACUACCACUGGAGUUUAAGAUGUGCCUUAGGUAAUUUGAAUAUUUAAAGUAUUGAAAAUCUAGUGUUGAUGAGGUGAGGUAACGUAUUAACAAAUUUUUAAAAAAUAAAUGUAGAUAUCCAUGGUUACUUGGAAAGAUGGGUGUAUUGUGUUGUAAAUAAUUAGCACAAAUCACUUUGUAAGAAGAAUUUCUGUUGUGGGGAGAAUUCCCCCGUGAACUGUGAAAUGAUGUAUGAUUGUUUGCAUUGGGUUAUAAAAAAUAAAAAUAAAAAUAAAUCAUUUAUGGCACAUUAUUGUAGAAUAAAGGAAAAAAAAGAAAAAAAA
rnacentral:lncRNA from 1 species